rnacentral:rRNA from 1 species
CCUACGGGGGGCAGCAGUGGGGAAUUUUGGACAAUGGGCGAAAGCCUGAUCCAGCAAUGCCGCGUGCAGGAUGAAGGCCCUCGGGUUGUAAACUGCUUUUGUACGGAACGAAAAGACUCUCUCUAAUAAAGAGGGUUGAUGACGGUACCGUAAGAAUAAGCACCGGCUAACUACGUGCCAGCAGCCGCGGUAAUACGUAGGGUGCGAGCGUUAAUCGGAAUUACUGGGCGUAAAGCGUGCGCAGGCGGUUAUGUAAGACAGAGGUGAAAUCCCCGGGCUCAACCUGGGAACGGCCUUUGUGACUGCAUGGCUAGAGUGCGGCAGAGGGGGAUGGAAUUCCGCGUGUAGCAGUGAAAUGCGUAGAUAUGCGGAGGAACACCGAUGGCGAAGGCAAUCCCUGGGCCUGCACUGACGCUCAUGCACGAAAGCGUGGGGAGCAAACAGGAUUAGAUACCCGAGUAGUC